rnacentral:rRNA from 1 species
UACGUAGGGUGCGAGCGUUAAUCGGAAUUACUGGGCGUAAAGCGUGCGCAGGCGGGCUUUUAAGCCAGACGUGAAAUCCCCGGGCUUAACCUGGGAAUGGCGUUUGGGACUGGAAGUCUGGAGUGCGGCAGAGGAGACUGGAAUUCCUGGUGUAGCAGUGAAAUGCGUAGAUAUCAGGAGGAACACCGAUGGCGAAGGCAGGUCUCUGGGCCACUACUGACGCUGAGAAGCGAAAGCGUGGGGAGCGAACAGG